UUCGUAGGUGGUGCGGCAAGUUGGGAGUGAAAUCUCUGGGCUUAACCCAGAGGCUGCUUUCAAAACUGCCGUGCUCGAGUGCGAGAGAGGUCAGUGGAAUUGCAGGUGUAGCGGUGAAAUGCGUAGAUAUCUGCAGGAACACCCGUGGCGAAGGCGGCUGACUGGAUCGCAACUGACACUGAGGAACGAAAGCUAGGGGAGCAAACAGGAUUAGAUACCCUGGUAGUCCUAGCCCUAAACCAUCGGAACUUGGGGUGGCCCGCGUAGGCGGGUCGUCCCGUAGCUAACGCGUUAAGUUCCGCGCCUGGGGAGUACGGUCGCAAGACUGAA
rnacentral:rRNA from 1 species